UAUGCUGUGGCUGAGUUUUGUCUUUCUGUUGCAGAUAUUCGAACAAUUUGAAGAAAUUCAAACAUUUUAUUACACAAAAAUGCCGCUCUUCGCUGACUUGGUGCAGUUUAUCUAUCUCAUCUCUUUUGAGUUUAAUAACCACAAAGUUUGACAAAAAAAACUGCUCCGGAUAGGAUCAAACGCUUGAAACGAUCGAAACAAUGCUUGAAACGAUCAAAACGGCUCAUGAAACGAUCGAAACAAUGCUAAAAACGUUGAAAAUGGCCCUUGAAAUGAGCGAAUUAGUGCUAGAAACGAUCGAAACAACGCUUGGAACGAUCGAAAAAUCGCUUGAAACGAUCGGAACAACGCUUAAAACGGCGAAAAUGGCGCUUGAAACAGUCGGAAUAGUGUUUGAAACGAAUGAAACAACGCUUGAAAAUUCUCAAACAUAUGUUUCCAAUAUUUAUACUUCAUACUCAACGACUGUCAUGGCACAGUUGCCAGGGGAUUACAUUUCUUCAUAGGAAAAAAGUCCAUCUGUCGCUGGAGAUUGGAAGUUGCUGGGGUUUUACUUCACUUACAGUCACUUGGGCUCAGUUGCUUUGGAACCGUUUUCGAAGAGUGAUCGAUGGAUACCAAAUGAAUUUCUUAAUACCCGUUGAUGAUCUUGACCUCCCUCAAUAUUUAUAAACAUUCUAAUGCAGAGGUUGCAACUUUGCUCCAGUCACCUUACUAAGACGAAAUGCUCGAUACGAAUCCCCAAUAAGCAUAUUUUGCAAUCCUAUCAAUUUUGAUGUCUAUUAACUUGGAAUAAUAAAAGAUUGAAUUGUGAA